UCGACGACGACGAUGGCGCCGUCGCACAGCGAGGGGCAAGACAGGCUGAGCGCUCUCCCCGACAAUGCGCUGCAGCGCAUCCUCUGCCACCUCCGGUCCGACGAGGCCGUGCGCACGAGCGCGCUCUCCCGCCGGUGGCGCGACGUCCACGAGGCCGUCCCCGUCAUCGACCUCGUCGACACCAAGACGGGCGACCGGGACUACGAGAGACUCAAGAUCUGCUUCGACCAAAAGGUGGCGUGCGCGAUCCUCGGCAAGGGGGCGGAGACGCCGAUCCGCGCCCUCCGUCUCAGCGGCGUCCUCAACCCCUCGCGCGACCAGCUCGACCAGUGGAUCGCCUCCGCCGUCACCUCCGGCGUGGAGGACCUCGACGUCAAGCUCAGGUACAAGGGUAACUGGGGACCCCGCACGCAGCCGCUCUGCCCGUUACGCGAAUUCGAGCGAAGCGAGAGUAAGGUGUACGCCAAGACCCAGCGUAUGAUCUUCCGCUGCCGCACGCUCCGCCGCCUGCGCCUGACGAGCUGGACGCUCGACCUGCCGGGGAGCGUCGACCGGCUGCUCUCGAGCUGCCCGCGCCUUGCCAGCCUGACGCUGGAGGAGUGCCCGGACAUCAAGGAGAUCACGGUGCCCAGCCCCUGCCUGCGCAGCUUCGCCUUGAUCUGCUGCCACAAUGCCACGGGCGUCGAGCUGCACACCACCUGCCUGAACUCGCUGCACUACAGAGGCGGCCUCCCUCCUCGCGGGUCGUCCUUUAUCGCGGUCCCAAACUUAUUGGCAGUCGAGGCGCUGAGGAUUGGAAUCUGCGAGGACCUCUCCAGCAAAGGACCGUCGGAAGUUGCUCCGGUCACGAAGCUCAUUAGGGGGUGCAGACGCCUGAGAUAUCUCGAACUUUCCUUGCACCCAUCAAUGGCCUACUACAGCAGCCUGCUCACAAGAGUCUUGCGUGGACUAGACAACCUCACGGAGCUGAGCCUCCAGGGCAGAUUGCCCACUGAUCAUGCUGUCCGGUCGGUGGCCGCCUUGCUUCUCAACGCCAAGAACCUGCAAGUGCUGUCGCUGUUCCUUCUGGGUCCA
rnacentral:rRNA from 1 species